GCGUUGAUAGCUCAGUUGGUUAGAGCCCCACCUUGACAUGGUGGGGGUCGUUGGUUCGGGUCCAAUUAAACGCACCA
rnacentral:tRNA from 1 species